GAGCGAAUUCACUCAGAACUAACAAGAAUGAUAACAUGCUCCGACUGGAGCGGUUUAGGAACUGCUGGAAGGCUCUAGGGGAAUAAAGAUGGAAUGACUUCUAAUUUUUAGGUCCGUAUGAUUUGAAAUACUUGCACACAAACCACGCGAAAGCGUUCCUGGAAAUCUCAGCCCAAAAAAGGACGUUUAGUAAUUCUAAAAGGGACUACAGGAUGAAAAACAAUAGUUUUGGCAGUUAAAGUUUGAGAUUCGACAGUGCCGUAGAUCCGUUUGGUCAUCAGGUAUUACGAGCCACACCCAUGUCUAGCUAGAAUAGUGUGCUAGGCUCAGGCUAGAGAAGAAACGGGGAACAAACUGAUGAAAGAAUGAUCAAACCGAGGGAAUUCACUCAGAACUAACAAUAAUGAUAACGUGCUCCGACUGGUGCGGUUUAGGAACUGCUGGAAGGCUCUAGGGGAAUAAAGAUGGAAUGACUUCUAAUUUUUAGGUCCGUAUGAUUUGAAAUACUUGCACACAAACCGCGCGAAAGCGUUCCUGGAAAUCUCAGCCCAAAAAAGGACGUUUAGUAAUUUUAAAAGGGACUAUAGGAUGAAAAACAAUAGUUUUGGCAAUUAAAGUUUGAGAUUCGACGGUGUCGUAGAUCCGUUUGGUCAUCAGGUGUUACGAGCCACACCCAUGUCUAGCUAGAAUAGUAUGUCAGGCUCAGGUUAGAGUAGAAACGGGGAACAAACUGAUGAAAGAAUGAUCAUACCAAGGGAAUUCACUCAGAACUAUCAAGAAUGAUAACGUGCUCCGACUGGAGUGAUUUAGGAACUGCUGGAAGGCUCUAGGGGAAUAAAGAUGGAAUGACUUCUAAUUUUUACGUCCGUAUGAUUUGAAAUACUUGCACACAAAUCACGCAAAAGCGUUCCUGGAAAUCUCAGCCUAAAAAAGGACGUUUAGUAAUUCUAAAAGGGACUACAGGAUGAAAAACAAUAGUUUGGGCAGUUAAAAUUUGAGAUUCGACGGUGCCGUAGAUCCGUUUGGUCAUCAGGUGUUACGAGCGACACCCUUGUCUAGCUAGAAUAGUGUGUUAGGCUCAGACUAGAGAAGAAACGGGGAACAAAGUGAUGAAAGAAUGAUCAUACCGAGGGAAUUCACUCAGAACUAACAAGAAUGAUAACGUGCUCCGACUGGAGCGGUUUAGUAACUGCUGGAAGGCUCUAGGGGAAUGAAGAUGGAAUGACUUCUAAUUUUUAGGUCCGUAUGAUUUGAAAUACAUGCACACAAACCCUGAGAAAGCGUUCCUGGAAAUCUCGGUCGAAAAAAGGAUGUUUAAUAAUUCUAAAAGGGACUACCGGAUGAAAAACAAUAGUUUUGGCAGUUAAAGUUUGUGAUUCGAUGGUGCCGUAGAUCUGUUUGGUCAUCAGGUGUUACGAGCCACACCCAUGUCUAUCUAGAAUAGUGUGUUAGGCUCAGGCUAGAGCAGAAACGGGGAACAGACUUAUGAAAGAAUGAUCAUACCGAGGGAAUUCACUCAGAACUAACAAGAAUGAUAACGUGCUCCGACUGGCGCGGUUUAGGAACUGCUGGAAGGCUCUAGGGGAAUAAAGAUGGAAAGACUUCUAAUUUUUAGGUCCGUAUGAUUUGAAAUACUUGCACACAAACCGCACGAAAGCGUUCCUGGAAAUCUCAGCCUAAAAAGGAUGUUUAGUAAUUCUAAAAGGGACUACAAGAUGAAAAAUAAUAGUUUGGGCAGUUAAAAUUUGAGAUUCGACGAUGCCGUAGAUCCGUUUGGUCAUCAGGUGUUAUGAGCCACACCCAUGUCUAGCUAGAAUAGUGUGUUAGGCUCAGGCUAGAGAAGAAACGGGGAACAAACUGAUGAAAGAAUGAUCAUACCGAGGGAAUUCACUCAGAACUAACAAGAAUGAUAACGUGCUCCGACUGGAGCAGUUUAGAAACUGCUGGAAGGCUCUAAUGGAAUAAAGAUGGAAUGCCUUCAAAUUUCUAGGUCCGUAUGAUUUGAAAUACUUGCACACAAACCGCUCGAAAGCGUUCCUGGAAAUCUCAGCCCAAAAAAGGACGUUUAGUAAUUCUAAAAGGGACUACAGGAUGAAAAACAAUAGUUUUGGCAGUUAAAGUUUGAGAUUCGAUGGUGCCGUAGAUCCGUUUGGUCAUCAGGUGUAACGAGCCACACACAUGUCUAGCUAGAGUAGUGUGCUAGGCUCAGACUAGAGAAGAAACGGGGAACAAAGUGAUGAAAGAAUGAUCAUACCGAGGGAAUUCACUCAGAACUUACAAGAAUGAUAACGUGCUCCGACUGGAGCGCUUUAGUAACUGCUGGAAGGCUCUAGGCGAAUAAAGAUGGAAUGACUUCUAAUUUUUAGGUCCGUAUGAUUUGAAAUACUUGCACACAAACCACGCAAAACCGUUCCUAGAAAUCUCGGUCGAAAAAAGGACGUUUAGUAAUUCUAAAAGGGACUACAGGAUGAAAAACAAUAGUUUUGGCAGUUAAAGUUUGAGAUUCGAUGGUGCCGUAGAUCCGUUUGGUCAUCAGGUGUUACGAGCCACACCCAUGUCUAGCUAGAGUAGUGUGCUAGGUUCAGACUAGAGAAGAAACGGGGAACAAAGUGAUUAAAGAAUGAUCAUACCGAGGGAAUUCACUCAGAACUAACAAGAAUGAUAACGUGCUCCGACUGGAGCGGUUUAGGAACUGCUGGAAGGCUCUAGGGGAAUAAAGAUGGAAUGACUUCUAAUUUUUACGUCCGUAUGAUUUGAAAUACAUGCACACAAACCACGCAAAAGCGUUCCUGGAAAUCUCAGCCUAAAAAAGGACGUUUAGUAAUUCUAAAAGGGACUACAGGAUGAAAAAUAAUAGUUUGGGCAGUUAAAAUUUGAGAUUCGACGCUGCCGUAGAUCCGUUUGGUCAUCAGGUCUUACGAGCCACACCCAUGUCUAGCUAGAAUAGUGUGUUAGGCUCAGGCUAGAGAAGAAACGGGGAACAAACUGAUGAAAGAAUGAUCAUACCGAGGGAAUUCACUCAGAACUAACAAGAAUGAUAACGUGCUCCGACUGGAGCAGUUUAGAAACUCCUGGAAGGCUCUAGGGGAAUAAAGAUGGAAUGACUUCAAAGUUUUAGGUCCGUAUGAUUUGAAAUACUUGCACACAAACCGCGUGAAAGCGUUCCUGGAAAUCUCAACCCAAAAAAGGGCGUUUAGUAAUUCUAAAAGGGACUACAGGAUGUAAAACAAUAGUUUUGGCAGUUAAAGUUUGAGAUUCGAUGGUGCCGUAGAUCCGUUUGGUCAUCAGGUGUAACGAGCCACACCCAUGUCUAGCUAGAGUAGUGUGCUAGGCUCAGACUAGAGAAGAAACGGGGAACAAAGUGAUGAAAGAAUGAUCAUACCGAGGGAAUUCACUCAUAACUAACAAGAAUGAUAACGUGCUCUGACUUGAGCGGUUUAGGAACUGCUGGAAGGCUAUAGGGGAAUAAAGAUGGAAUGACUUCAAAUUUUUAGGUCCGUAUGAUCUGAAAUACUUGCACACAAACCGCGAGAAAGCGUUCCUGGAAAUCUCAACCCAAAAAAGGACGUUUAGUAAUUCUAAAAGGGACUACAGGAUGAAAAACAAUAGUUCUGGCAGUUAUUGUUUGAGAUUCGAUAAUCUCGUAGAUCCGUUUGGUCAUCAGGUGUAACGAGCCACACCCAUGUCUAGCUAGAGUAGUGUGCUAGGCUCAGACUAGAGAAGAAACGGGGAACAAACUGAUGAAAGAAUGAUCAUACCGAGGGAAUUCACUUAGAACUAACAAGAAUGAUAACGUGCUCCGACUGGAGCGGUUUAGGAACUGCUGGAAGGCUCUAGGGGAAUAAAGAAGGAACGACUUCUAAUUUUUAGGUCCGUAUGAUUUGAAAUAUGUGCACACAAACCACGAGAAAGCGUUCCUAGAAAUCUCGGCCCAAAAGAGGACGUUUAGUAUUCUAAAAGGGACUACAGAAUGAAAAACAAUAGUUUUGGCAGUUAAAGUUUGAGAUUUGACGGUGCCGUAGAUCUGUUUGGUCAUCAGGGGUUACGAGCCACACCCAUGUCUAGCUAGAAUAGUGUGUUAGGCUCAGGCUAGAAAAGAAACGGGGAACAAAGUGAUGAAAGAAUGAUCAUACCGAGGGAAUUCACUCAGAACUAACAAGAAUGAUAACAUGCUCCGACUGGAGCGGUUUAGGAACUGCUGGAAGGCUCUAGGGGAAUAAAGAUGGAAUGACUUCUAAUUUUUAGGUCCGUAUGAUUUGAAAUACUUGCACACAAACCGCGCGAAAGCGUUCCUGGAAAUCUCAGCCCAAAAAAGGACGUUUAGUAAUUCUAAAAGGGACUACAGGAUGAAAAACAAUAGUUUUGGCAGUUAAAGUAUGAGAUUCAACGGUGCCGUAGAUCCGUUUGGUCAUUAGGUGUUACGAGCCACACCCAUGUCUAGCUAGAAUAGUGUGCUAGGCUCAGGCUAGAGAAGAAACGGGGAACAAACUGAUGAAAGAAUGAUCAAACCGAGGGAAUUCACUCAGAACUAACAAUAAUGAUAACGUGCUCCGACUGGAGCGGUUUAGGAACUGCUGGAAGUCUCUAGGGGAAUAAAGAUGGAAUGACUUCUAAUUUUUACGUUCGUAUGAUUUGAAAAACUUGCCCAUAAACCGCGCGAAAGUGUUCCUGGAAAUCUCAGCCCAAAAAAGGACGUUUAGUAAUUUUAAAAGGGACUACACGAUGAAAAACAAUAGUUUUGGCAGGUAAAGUUUGAGAUUCGACAGUGCCGUAGAUCCGUUUGGUCAUCAGGUGUUACGAGCCACACCCAUGUCUAGCUAGAAUAGUAUGUUACGCUCAGGUUAGAGAAGAAACGGGGAACAAACUGAUGAAAGAUGAUCAUACCAAGGGAAUUCACUCAGAACUAACAAGAAUGAUAACGUGCUCCGACUGGAGCGGUUUAGGAACUGCUGGAAGGCUCUAGGGGAAUAAAGAUGGAAUGACUUCUAAUUUUUACGUCUGUAUGAUUUGAAAUACUUGCACACAAACAACGCAAAAGCAUUCCUGGAAAUCUCAUCCUAAAAAAGGACGUUUAGUAAUUCUAAAAGGGACUACAGGAUGAAAAAUAAUAGUUUGGGAAGUUAAAAUUUGAGAUUCGAUAGUGCCGUAGAUCCGUUUGGUCAUCAGGUGUUAGGAGCCACACCCAUGUCUAGCUAGAAUAGUGUGUUAGGCUCAGGCUAGAGAAGAAACAGGGAACAAACUGAUGAAAGAAUGAUCAUACCGAGGGAAUUCACUCAGAACUAGCAAGAAUGAUAACGUGCUCCGACUGGAGCAGUUUUGAAACUGCUGGAAGGCUCUAGGGGAAUAAUGAUGGAAUGACUUCUAAGUUUUUGGUCCGUAUGAUUUGAAAUACGUGCACACAAACCCAGAGAAAGUGUUCUUGGAAAUCUCGGCCGAAAAAAGGAUGUUUAAUAAUUCUAAAAGGGACUACAGGAUGAAAAACAAUAGUUUUGGCAGUUAAAGUUUGUGAUUCGAUGGUGCUGUAGAUCUGUUUGGUCAUCAGGUGUUAUGAGCCACACCCAUGUCUAGCUAGAACAGUGUGUUAGGCUCAGGCUAGAGCAGAAACGGGGAACAAACUUAUGAAAGAAUGAUCAUACCGAGGGAAUUCACUCAGAACUAACAAGAAUGAUAACGUGCUCCGACUGGAGAGGUUUAGGAACUGCUGGAAGGCUCUAGGGGAAUAAAGAUGGAAUGACUUCAAAUUUUUAGGUCUGUAUGAUCUGAAAUACUUGCACACAAACCGCGAGAAAGCGUUCCUGGAAAUCUCAGCCCAAAAAAGGACGUUUAGUGAUUCUAAAAGGGACUACGGGAUAAAAAACAAUAGUUUUGGCAGUUAAAGUUUGAGAUUCGAUAAUGCCGUAGAUCCGUUUGGUCAUCAGGUGUAACGAGCCACACCCAUGUCUAGCUAGAGUAGUGUGCUAGGCUCAUACUAGAGAAGAAAUGGGGAACAAACUGAUGAAAGAAUGAUCAUACCGAGGGAGUUCACUCAAAACUAACAUGAAUGAUAACGUGCUCCGACUGGAGCGGUUUAGGAACUGCUGGAAGGCUCUAGGGGAAUAAAGAUGGAAUGACUUCUAAUUUUUAGGUCCGUAUGAUUUGAAAUACAUGCACACAAACCCCAAGAAAGCGUUCCUGGAAAUCUCGCCCCGAAAAACGACGUUUAGUAAUUCUAAAAGGGACUAUAGGAUGAAAAACAAUAGUUUUGGCAGUUAAAGUUUGAGAUUUGACGGUGCCGUAGAUCUGUUUGGUCAUCAGGUGUUACGAGCCACACCCAUUUCUAGCUAGAAUAGUGUGUUAGGCUCAGGCUAGAAAAGAAACGGGGAACAAAGUGAUGAAAGAAUGAUCAUACCGAGGGAAUUCACUCAGAACUAACAAGAAUGAUAACAUGGUCCGACUGGAGCGGUUUAGGAACUGCUGGAAGGCUCUAGGGGAAUAAAGAUGGAAUGACUUCUAACUUUUAGGUCCGUAUGAUUUGAAUUACUUGCACACAAACCGCGCGAAAGCGUUCCUGGAAAUCUCAGCCCAAAAAAGGACGUUUAGUAAUUCUAAAAGGGACUACAGGAUGAAAAACAAUAGUUUUGGCAGUUAAAGUUUGAGAUUCGACGGUGCCGUAGAUCCGUUUGGUCAGCAGGUGUUACGAGCCACACCCAUGUCUAGCUAGAGUAGUGUGCUAGGUUCAGACUAGAGAAGAAAUGUUGGGGAACGUAGCAGAAAUUCAAAAUUUUCCUACGUGUCACCAAGAUCUAUCUAUGGAGAGACUAGCAACGAGGGAAGGAGAGUGCAUCUACAUACCCUUGUAGAUCGCUAAGCGGAAGCGUUCAAGUGAACGGGGUUGAUGGAGUCGUACUCGUCGUGAUUCAGCUCACCGAUGAUCCUAGUGCCGAACGGACGGCACCUCCGCGUUCAACACACGUACAGCUCGACGAUGUCUCCCACGCCUUGAUCCAGCAAGGAGAGAGGGAGAGGUUGAGGAAGACUCCAUCCAGCAGAAGCACAACGGCGUGGUGGUGAUGGAGGAGCAUGGCAAUCCUGCAGGGCUUCGCCAAGCACCUAUGGGAGAGGAGGAGGUGUCACGGGAGGGAGGGAGGCGCCAAGGGCUCAGGUAUAGAUGCCCUCCCUCCCCUCCACUAUAUAUAGGGGCAAGGGAGAGGGGGGAGGCGCAGCCUUGCCCCUUCCUCCAAGGAAGGGGUGCGGCUAAGAGGGGGGGAGGAGUCCAUCCUCCCCAAGGCACCUCGGAGGUGCCUUCCCCCUUUAGGACUCUCCCCUUUUUCCUAUAUCUUGGCGCAUGGGCCUCUAGGGGCUGGUUCCCUUGGCCCAUGUAGGCCCAGGCGCACCCCCUACAGCCCAUGUGGCCCCCCGGGGCAGGUGGCCCCACCUGGUGGGCCCCCGGGACCCUUCCGGUGGUCCCGGUACAAUACCGAUGACCCCGAAACUUGUCCCGAUGGCCGAAACAGGACUUCCUAUAUAUAAAUCUUUACCUCCGGACAAUUCCGGAACUCCUCGUGACGUCCGGGAUCUCAUCCGGGACUCCGAACAACAUUCGGUAACCACAUACAAACUUCCUUUAUAACCCUAGCGUCAUCGAACCUUAAGUGUGUAGACCCUACGGGUUCGGGAGACAUGUAGUCAUGACCGAGAUGUUCUCCGGUCAAUAACCAACAGCGGGAUCUGGAUACCCAUGUUGGCUCCCACAUGUUCCACGAUGAUCUCAUCGGAUGAACCACGAUGUCAAGGACUCAAUCAAUCCCGUAUACAAUUCCCUUUGUCUAGCGGUAUGGUACUUGCCCGAGAUUCGAUCGUCGGUAUACCGAUACCUUGUUCAAUCUCGUUACCGGCAAGUCUCUUUACUCAUUUCGUAACACAUCAUCCCGUGAUCAACCCCUUGGUCACAUUGUGCACAUUAUGAUGAUGUCCUACCGAGUGGGCCCAGAGAUACCUCUCCGUUUACACGGAGUGACAAAAUCCCAAUCUCGAUUCGUGCCAACCCAACAGACACUUUCAGAGAUACCCGUAGUGUACCUUUACAGCCACCCAGUUACGUUGUGACGUUUGGCACACCCAAAGCACUCCUACAGUAUCCGGGAGUUGCACAAUCUCAUGGUCUAAGGAAAUGAUACUUGACAUUAGAAAAGCUUUAGCAUACGAACUACAUGAUCUUGUGCUAGGCUUAGGAUUGGGUCUUGUCCAUCACAUCAUUCUCCUAAUGAUGUGAUCCCGUUAUCAACGACAUCCAAUGUCCAUGGUCAGGAAACCGUAACCAUCUAUUGAUUAACGAGCUAGUCAACUAGAGGCUUACUAGGGACAUGGUGUUGUCUAUGUAUCCACACAUGUAUCUAAGUUUCCUAUCAAUACAAUUCUAGCAUGGAUAAUAAACGAUUAUCAUGAACAAGGAAAUAUAAUAAUAAUCAAUUUAUUAUUGCCUCUAGGGCAUAUUUCCAACAGUCUCCCACUUGCACUAGAGUCAAUAAUCUAGUUCACAUCGAUAUGUGAUUAACACUCAAGGUCACAUUCCCAUGUGACUAACACCCAAGAGUUUACUAGAGUCAAUAAUCUAGUUCACAUUUACCAUGUGAUUAACACUUGAUGAGUUCUGGGUUUGAUCAUGUUAUGCUUGUGAGAGAGGUUAUAGUCAACGGGUCUGAACCUUUCAGAUCCGUGUGUGCUUUACAAAUCUCUAUGUCAUCUCCUAGAUGCAGCUACCACGUUCUAUUUGGAGCUAUUCCAAAUAACUGUUCUACUUGGAGCUAUUCUAAAUUGUUGCUCCAUUAUACGUAUCCGGUAUCUCUACUCAGAGCUAUCCGGAUAGGUGUUAAGCUUGCAUCGACGUAACCCUUUACGACGAACUCUUUUACCACCUCCAUAAUUGAGAAAAUUCCUUAGUCCACUAGUUACUAAGGAUAACUUUGACCGCUGUCCUGUGAUCCAUUCUUGGAUCACUCUUGUACCCCUUGACUGACUCAUGGUAAAGCACACUUCAGGUGCGGUACACAGCAUAGCAUACUGUAGAGCCUAUGUCUUAAGCAUAGGGGACGACCUUCGUUCCUUUCUCUCUAUUCUGCCAUGGUCGAGCUUUAAGUCUUAACUUCAUACCUUACAACUCAGGCAAGAACUCCUUCUUUGACUGAUCCAUCUUGAACACCUUCAAGAUCACGUCAAGGCAUGUGCUCACGUCAAGAUCACGUCGGUAUACCGAUACCUUGUUCAAUCUCGUUACCGGCAAGUCUCUUUACUCGUUCCGUAACACAUCAUCCCGUGAUCAACCCCUUGGUCACAUUGUGCACAUUAUGAUGAUGUCCUACCGAGUGGGCCCAGAGAUACCUCUCCGUUUACACGGAGUGACAAAAUCCCAAUCUCGAUUCGUGCCAACCCAACAGACACUUUCAGAGAUACCCGUAGUGUACCUUUAUAGCCACCCAGUUACGUUGUGACGUUUGGCACACCCAAAGCACUCCUACGGUAUCCGGGAGUUGCACAAUCUCAUGGUCUAAGGAAAUGAUACUUGACAUUAGAAAAGCUUUAGCAUACGAACUACAUGAUCUUGUGCUAGGCUUAGGAUUGGGUCUUGUCCAUCACAUCAUUCUCCUAAUGAUGUGAUCCCGUUAUCAACGACAUCCAAUGUCCAUGGUCAGGAAACCGUAACCAUCUAUUGAUUAACGAGCCAGUCAACUAGAGGCUUACUAGGGACAUGGUGUUGUCUAUGUAUCCACACAUGUAUCUGAGUUUCCUAUCAAUACAAUUCUAGCAUGGAUAAUAAACGAUUAUCAUGAACAAGGAAAUAUAAUAAUAAUCAAUUUAUUAUUGCCUCUAGGGCAUAUUUCCAACAGUCUCCCACUUGCACUAGAGUCAAUAAUCUAGUUCACAUCACCAUGUGAUUAACACUGACAGGUCACAUCACCAUGUGACCAACAUCCAAAGAGUCUUGGGUUUGAUCAUGUUGCUUGUGAGAGAGGUUAUAGUCAACGGGUCUGAACCUUUCAGAUCCGUGUGUGCUUUACAAAUCUCUAUGUCAUCUCCUAGAUGCAGCUACCACGUUCUAUUUGGAGCUAUUCCAAAUAACUGUUCUACUUGGAGCUAUUCUAAAUUGUUGCUCCAUUAUACGUAUCCGGUAUCUCUACUCAGAGCUAUCCGGAUAGGUGUUAAGCUUGCAUCGACGUAACCCUUUACGACGAACUCUUUUACCACCUCCAUAAUUGAGAAAAUUCCUUAGUCCACUAGUUACUAAGGAUAACUUUGACCGCUGUCCUGCGAUCCAUUCUUGGAUCACCCUUGUACCCCUUGACUGACUCAUGGUAAAGCACACUUCAGGUGCGGUACACAGCAUAGCAUACUGUAGAGCCUAUGUCUUAAGCAUAGGGGAUGACCUUCGUUCCUUUCUCUCUAUUCUGCCAUGGUCGAGCUUUAAGUCUUAACUUCAUACCUUACAACUCAGGCAAGAACUCCUUCUUUGACUGGUCCAUCUUGAACACCUUCAAGAUCAUGUCAAGGUAUGUGCUCAUUUGAAAGUACUAUUAAGCGUUUUGAUCUAUCCUUAUAGAUCUUGAUGCUCAAUGUUCAAGUAGCUUAAUCCAGGUUUUCCAUUGAAAACACUUUCCAAAUAACCCUAUAUGCUUUCCAGAAAUUCUACGUCAUUUCUGAUCAUUAAUAUGUCAACAACAUAUAAUCAUCAGAAAUUCUAUAGUGCUCCCACUCACUUCUUUGGAAAUACAAGUUUCUCAUAAACUUUGUAUACACCCAAAAUCUUUGAUCAUCAUCAAAGCAUACAUUCCAACUCCGAGAUGCUCACUCCAGUCCUCAGAAGGAUUGCUGGAGCUUUGCAUACUUAUUAGCAUAUUUCAGGAUAGACAAAACCUUCCAGUUGUAUCACAUACAACCUUUCCUCAAGAAUCGUCGACGAAACAAUGUUUUGACAUCCUAUCUGCAAGAUUUCAUAAAUAAUGCAGUAAUUGUUAAUAUAAUUCCAACAGACUCUUAGCAUCGCUACGAGUGAGAAAGUCUCAUUGUAGUCAACUCCUUGAACUUGUCAAAAAACAUCUUAACGACAAGUCGAGCUUUCUCAAUGGUGACACUUACCAUCAUUGUCUGUCUUCCUUUCAAAAUCCAUAUGUACCUAACAGCCUUACGACCAUCAAGUAGUUCUUCCAAAGUCUACACUUUGUUUUCAUACAUGGAUCCUCUCUCGGGUUUUAUGGCCAUGAGCCAUUUAUCGGAAUCCGGGCCCACCAUUGCUUCUCCAUAGCUCGUAGGUUCAUUGUUGUCUAGCAACAUGACUUCCAAGACAGGAUUACUGUACCACUCUGAAGUAGUACGUAUCCUUGUCACCCUACGAGGUUUGGGAGUGACUUGAUCUGAAGUUUCAUGAUCACUAUCAUAAGCUUCUACUUCAAUUGGUGUAGGUGCCACAGGAACAACUUCCUGUGCCCUGCUACACACUGGUUGAAGUGAUGGUUCAAUAACCUCAUCAAGUCUCCACCAUCCUCCCACUCAAUUCUUUCGAGAGAAACCUUUCCUCGAGAAAGGACCCAAUUCUAGAAACAAUUCAUAUUGCUUUCGGAUCUGAAUUAGGAAGUAUACCCAACUGUUUUGGGUGUCCUAUGAAGAUGUACUUUAUCCGCUUUGGUUUCGAGCUUAAUCCUGAAACUUUUUCACAUAAGUGUCGCAGCCCCAAACCUUUAAGAAACGACAACUUAGGUUUCUCUAAACCAUAAUUCAUACGGUGUCAUCUCAUCGGAAUUACGUGGUGCCCUAUUUAAAGUGAAUGUGGUUGUCUUUAAUGCCUAACCCAUAAACUAUCGUGGCAGUUCGAUAAGAGACAUCAUGGUAUGCAUCAUAUCCAAUAGGGUGCAACUAUGAUGUUCGGACACACCAUCACACUAUGGUGUUCCAGGCGGUAUUAAUUGUGAAACAAUUUCCACAAUGUCUUAAUUGUGUGCCAAAACUCGUAACUCAGAUACUCAUCUCUAUGAUCAUAUCAUAGACAUUUUAUCCUCUUGUCACAAUGAUCUUCUACUUCACUCUGAAAUUACUUGAACCAUUCAACAAUUCAGACUUGUGUUUCAUCAAGUAAAUAUUCUCAACAUCUACUCGAAUCAUCUGUGAAGUAAGAACAUAACGAUAUUCACUGCAUGCCUCAGCACUCAUUGGACUGCACACAUCAAAAUGUGUUACUUCCAACAAGUUGCUAUCUUGUUCCAUCUUACUGAAAACGAGGCUUUUCAGUCAUCUUGCCCAUGUGGUAUGAUUUGCAUGUCCCAAGUGAUUCAAAAAUCAAGUGAGUCAAAACGGUCCAUUUGCAUGGAGUUUCUUCAUGCAUAUACACCAAUAGACAUGGUUCGCAUGUCUCAAACUUUUCAAAAACGAGUGAGCCCAAAGAUCCAUCAAUAUGGAGCUUCUUCAUGCGUUUUAUACCGAUAUGACUUACGUGGUAGUGCCACAAGUAGGUGGUACUAUCAUUACUAUCUUUUGGCAUGAACAUGUGUAUCACUACGAUCGAGAUUUAAUAAACCAUUCAUUUUAGGUGUAAGACCAUUGAAGGUAUUAUUCAAAUAAACAGAGUAACCAUUAUUCUCCUUAAAUGAAUAACCGUAUUGCGAUAGACGUAAUCCAAUCAUGUCUAUGCUCAACGCAAACACCAAAUAACAAUUAUUUAGGUUUAACACCAAUCUCUUUGGUAGAGGGAGCGUGCGAUGCUUGAUCAUAUCAAGCAUGGAAAAACUUACAACACAUAUCGUCAGCUCACCUUUAGCUAGUCUCUGUUUAUUCCGUAGCCUUUUGUUUCGAGUUACUAACACUUAGCAACCGAACUGGUAUCUAAUACCCUGGUGCUACUAGGAGUACUAGCAAAGUACACAUUAACACAAUGUAUAUCCAAUAUACUUCUAUCGACCUUGCCAGCCUUCUUAUCUACCAAGUAUCUAGGGUAAUUCUGCUCUAGUAGUUGUUCCCCUUAUUACAGAAGCACUUAGUCUCGGGUUUGGGUUUUACCUUGGGUUUCUUCACUAGAGCAGCAGCUGAUUUGCCGUUUCAUGAAGUAUCCCUUCUUGCCCUUGCCCUUCUUGAAACUAGUGGUUCCACCAACCAUCAACAAUUGAUGCUCCUUCUUGAUUUCUACUUUCGCGGUGUCAAACAUCGCGAAUACCUCAAGGAUCAUCAUAUCUAUCCCUGAUAUGUUAUAGUUCAUCAUGAAGCUCUAACAGCUUGGUGGCAAUGACUUUGGAGAACCAUCACUAUCUCAUCUGGAAGAUCAACUCCCACUCGAUUCAAGCGAUUGUUGUACUCAGACAAUCUGAGCACAAGCUCAACGAUUGAGCUUUUCUCCCUUAGUUUGCAGGUUAAGAAAGUCAUCGGAGGUCUUAUACCUCUUGACAUGGGCACGAGCCUGAAAUCCCAAUUUCAGCCCUCAAAACAUCUCAUAUGUUUCGCGAUGUUUCAAAAACGUCUUUGGUGCCUCAACUCUAAACCGUUUAACUGAACUAUCACGUAGUUAUCAAAACGUGUAUGUCAGAUGUUCGCAACAACCACAGACAACGUUCGAGGUUCAGCACACUGAGCGGUGCAUUAAGGACAUAAGCCUUCUAUGAAGCAAUGAGGACAAUCCUCAGUUUACGGACCUAGUCCGCAUAAUUGCUACUAUCAACUUUCAACUAAUUUUUCUCUAGGAACAUAUCUAAACAGUAGAACUAUAGCGUGAGCUACGACAUAAUUUGCAAAAACCUUUUGACUAUGUUCAGGAUAAUUAAGUUCAUCUUAUGAACUCCCACUCAGAUAGACAUCCCUCUAGUCAUCUAAGUGAUUACAUGAUCCGAGUCAAACUAGGCCGUGUCCGAUCAUCACGUGAGACGGACUAGUCAUCAUCGGUGAACAUCUUCAUGUUGAUCGUAUCUUCUAUACGACUCAUGUUCGACCUUUCGGUCUUCGUGUUCCGAGGCCAUGUAUGUACAUGCUAGGCUCGUCAAGUUAACCCUAAGUGUUUCGCGUGUGUAAAUCUGUCUUACACCCGUUGUAUGUGAACGUUAGAAUCUAACACCCGAUCAUCACGUGGUGCUUCGAAACACGAACUGUCGCAACGGUGCACAGUUAGGGGAGAACACUUCUUGAAAUUGUUGUAAGGGAUCAUCUUAUUUACUACCGUCGUUCUAAGCAAAUAAGAUGUAUAAACAUGAUAAACAUCACAUGCAAUCAAAUAGUGACAUGAUAUGGCCAUCAUCACUUUGCUCCUUUUGAUCUCCAUCUUCGGGGCUCCAUGAUCAUCAUCGUCACCGGCAUGACACCAUGAUCUCCAUCAUCAUGAUCUCCAUCAUCGUGUCUUCAUGAAGUUGCCUCGCCAACUAUUACUUCUACUACUAUGGCUAACGGUUAGCAAUAAAGUAAAGUAAUUACAUGACGUUUAAGUUGACACGCAGGUCACAAAUGAAUAAAGACAACUCCUAUGGCUCCUGCCGGUUGUCAUACUCAUCGACAUGCAAGUCGUGAUUCCUAUUACAAGAACAUGAUCAAUCUCAUACAUCACAUAUAUCAUUCAUCACAUCCUUUUUGGCCAUAUCACAUCACAUAGCAUACCCUGCAAAAACAAGUUAGACGUCCUCUAAUUGUUGUUUGCAUGUUUUACGUGGCUGCUAUGGGUUUCUAGCAAGAACGUUUCUUACCUACGCAUGAACAACAACGUGAUAUGCCAAUUGCUAUUUACCCUUCAUAAGGACCCUUUUCAUCGAAUCCGAUCCGACUAAAGUGGGAGAGACAGACACCCGCCAGCCACCUUAUGCAACUAGUGCAUGUUUGUCGGUGGAACCGGUCUCACGUAAGCGUACGUGUAAGGUUGGUCCGGGCCGCUUCAUCCCACGAUGCCGCCGAAUCAAGAUAAGACUAGUAACGGCAAGCAUAUUGAACAAUAUCAACGCCCACAACUACUUUGUGUUCUACUCGUGCAAAGAAUCUACGCAAUAGACCUAGCUCAUGAUGCCACUGUUGGGGAACGUAGCAGAAAUUCAAAAUUUUCCUACGUGUCACCAAGAUCUAUCUAUGGAGAUACUAGCAACGAGGGAAGGAGAGUGCAUCUACAUACCCUUGUAGAUCGCUAAGCGGAAGCGUUCAAGUGAACGGGGUUGAUGGAGUCGUACUCGUCGUGAUUCAGAUCACCGAUGAUCCUAGUGCCGAACGGACGGCACCUCCGCGUUCAACACACGUACAGCUCGACGAUGUCUCCCACGCCUUGAUCCAGCAAGGAGAGAGGGAGAGGUUGAGGAAGACUCCAUCCAGCAGCAGCACAACGGCGUGGUGGUGAUGGAGGAGCGUGGCAAUCCUGCAGGGCUUCGCCAAGCACCUACGGGAGAGGAGGAGGUGUCACGGGAGGGAGGGAGGCGCCAAGGGCUCAGGUAUAGAUGCCCUCCCUCCCCUCCACUAUAUAUAGGGGCAAGGGAGAGGGGGAGGCGCAUCCUUGCCCCUUCCUCCAAGGAAGGGGUGCGGCUAAGAGGGGGGGAGGAGUCCAUCCUCCCCAAGGCACCUCGGAGGUGCCUUCCCCCUUUAGGACUCUCCCCUUUUUCCUAUAUCUUGGCGCAUGGGCCUCUAGGGGCUGGUGCCCUUGGCCCAUGUAGGCCAAGGCGCACCCCCCUACAGCCCAUGUGGCCCCCCGGGGCAGGUGGCCCCACCCGGUGGGCCCCCGGGACCCUUCCGGUGGUCCCGGUACAAUACCGAUGACCCCGAAACUUGUCCCGAUGGCCGAAACAGGACUUCCUAUAUAUAAAUCUUUACCUCCGGACCAUUCCGGAACUCCUCGUGACGUCCGGGAUCUCAUCCGGGACUCCGAACAACAUUCGGUAACCACAUACAAACUUCCUUUAUAACCCUAGCGUCAUCGAACCUUAAGUGUGUAGACCCUACGGGUUCGGGAGACAUGUAGUCAUGACCGAGAUGUUCUCCGGUCAAUAACCAACAGCGGGAUCUGGAUACCCAUGUUGGCUCGCACAUGUUCCACGAUGAUCUCAUCGGAUGAACCACGAUGUCAAGGACUCAAUCAAUCCCGUAUACAAUUCCCUUUGUCUAGCGGUAUGGUACUUGCCCGAGAUUCGAUCGUCGGUAUACCGAUACCUUGUUCAAUCUCGUUACCGGCAAGCCUCUUUACUCGUUCCGUAACACAUCAUCCCGUGAUCAACCCCUUGGUCACAUUGUGCACAUUAUGAUGAUGUCCUACCGAGUGGGCCCAGAGAUACCUCUCCGUUUACACGGAGUGACAAAAUCCCAAUCUCGAUUCGUGCCAACCCAACAGACACUUUCAGAGAUACCCGUAGUGUACCUUUAUAGCCACCCAGUUACGUUGUGACGUUUGGCACACCCAAAGCACUCCUACGGUAUCCGGGAGUUGCACAAUCUCAUGGUCUAAGGAAAUGAUACUUGACAUUAGAAAAGCUUUAGCAUACGAACUACAUGAUCUUGUGCUAGGCUUAGNNNNNNNNNNUGAUCAACCCCUUGGUCACAUUGUGCACAUUAUGAUGAUGUCCUACCGAGUGGGCCCAGAGAUACCUCUCCGUUUACACGGAGUGACAAAAUCCCAAUCUCGAUUCGUGCCAACCCAACAGACAUUUUCAGAGAUACCCGUAGUGUACCUUUAUAGCCACCCAGUUACGUUGUGACGUUUGGCACACCCAAAGCACUCCUACGGUAUCCGGGAGUUGCACAAUCUCAUGGUCUAAGGAAAUGAUACUUGACAUUAGAAAAGCUUUAGCAUACGAACUACAUGAUCUUGUGCUAGGCUUAGGAUUGGGUCUUGUCCAUCACAUCAUUCUCCUAAUGAUGUGAUCCCGUUAUCAACGACAUCCAAUGUCCAUGGUCAGGAAACCGUAACCAUCUAUUGAUUAACGAGCUAGUCAACUAGAGGCUUACUAGGGACAUGGUGUUGUCUAUGUAUCCACACAUGUAUCUGAGUUUCCUAUCAAUACAAUUCUAGCAUGGAUAAUAAACGAUUAUCAUGAACAAGGAAAUAUAAUAAUAAUCAAUUUAUUAUUGCCUCUAGGGCAUAUUUCCAACAAGAAACGGGGAACAAACUGAUGAAAGAAUGAUCAUACCGAGGGAAUUCACUCAGAACUAACAAGAAUGAUAACGUGCUUUGACUGGAGCGGUUUAAAAACUGCUGGAAGGCUCUAGGGGAAUAAAGAUGGAAUGCCUUCAAAUUUCUAGGUCCGUAUGAUUUGAAAUACUUGCACACAAACCGCGCGAAAGCGUUCCUGGAAAUCUCAGCCCAAAAAAGGACGUUUAGUAAUUCUAAAAGGGACUACAGAAUGAAAAACAAUAGUUUUGGCAGUUAAAGUUUGAGAUUCGAUGGUGCCGUAGAUCCGUUUGGUCAUCAGGUGUAACGAGCCACACCCAUGUCUAGCUAGAGUAGUGUGCUAGGCUCAGGCUAGAGAAGAAACGGGGAACAAACUGAUGAAAGAAUGAUCAUACCGAGGGAAUUCACUCAGAACUAACAAGAAUGAUAACGUGCUCCGACUGGAGCGGUUUAGGAACUGCUGGAAGGCUCUAGGGGAAGAAAGAAGGAAUGACUUCUAAUUUUUAGGUCCGUAUGAUUUGAAAUACGUGCACACAAACCGCGCGAAAGCGUUCCUGGAAAUCUCAGCCCAAAAAAGGACGUUUAGUAUUCUAAAAGGGACUACAGAAUGAAAAACAAUAGUUUUGGCAGUUAAAGUUUGAGAUUCGACGGUGCCGUAGAUCCGUUUGGUCAUCAGGUGUUACGAGCCACACCCAUGUCUAGCUAGAAUAGUGUGCNNNNNNNNNNNNNNNNNNNNNNNNNCGUAUGAUUUGAAAUACGUGCACACAAACCGCGCGAAAGCGUUCCUGGAAAUCUCAGCCCAAAAAAGGACGUUUAGUAUUCUAAAAGGGACUACAGAAUGAAAAACAAUAGUUUUGGCAGUUAAAGUUUGAGAUUCGACGGUGCUGUAGAUCCGUUUGGUCAUCAGGUGUUACGAGCCACACCCAUGUCUAGCUAGAAUAGUGUGCUAGGCUCAGGCUAGAGAAGAAAAGGGGAACAAACUAAUGAAAGAAUGAUCAAUACGAGGGAAUUCACUCAGAACUAACAAUAAUGAUAACGUGCUCCGACUGGAGCGGUUUAGGAACUGCUGGAAGGCUCUAGGCGAAUAAAGAUGGAAUGACUUCUAAUUUUUACGUCCGUAUGAUUUGAAAUACUUGCACACAAACCACGCAAAAGCGUUCCUGGAAAUCUCGGCCUAAAAAGGACGUUUAGUAAUUCUAAAAGGGACUACAGGAUGAAAAAUAAUAGUUUGGGCAGUUAAAAUUUGAGAUUCGACGGUGCCGUAGAUCCGUUUGGUCAUCAGGUGUUACGAGCCACACCCAUGUCUAGCUAGAAUAGUGUGUUAGGCUCAGGCUAGAGAAGAAACGAGGAACAAACUGAUGAAAGAAUGAUCAUACCAAGGGAAUUCACUCAGAACUAACAAGAAUGAUAACGUGCUCCGACUGGAGCAGUUUAGAAACUGCUGGAAGGCUCUAGGGGAAUAAAGAUGGAAUGACUUCUGAUUUUUAGGUCCGUAUGAUUUGAAAUACGUGCACACAAACCCCGCGAAAGCGUUCCUGGAAAUCUCAGCCCAAAAAAGGACGUUUAGUAAUUCUAAAAGGGACUACAACAUGAAAAACAAUAGUUUUGGCAGUUAAAGUUUGAGAUUUCAUGGUGCCGUAGAUCUGUUUGGUCAUCAGGUGUUACGAGCCACACCCAUGUCUAGCUAGAAUAGUGUGUUAGGCUCAGGCUAGAAAAGAAACGGGAAACAAAGUGAUGAAAGAAUGACCAUACCGAGGGAAUUCACUCAGAACUAACAAGAAUGAUAACAUGCUCCGACUUGAGCGGUUUAGGAACUGCUGGAAGGCUCUAGGGGAAUAAAGAUGGAAUGACUUCUAAUGUUUAGGUCCGUAUGAUUUGAAAUACUUGCACAUAAACCGCACAAAAGCGUUCCUGGAAAUCUCAGCCCAAAAAAGGACGUUUAGUAAUUCUAAAAGGGACUACAGGAUGAAAAACAAUAGUUUUGGCAGUUAAAGUUUGAGAUUCGACGGUGCCGUAGAUCCGUUUGGUCAUCAGGUGUUACGAGCCACACCCAUGUCUAGCUAGAAUAGUGUGUUAGGCUCAGGCUAGAGAAGAAACUUGGAACAAACUGAUGAAAGAAUGAUCAAACCAACGGAAUUCACUCAGAACUAACAAUAAUGAUAACGUGCUCCGACUGGAGCAGUUUAGGAACUGCUGGAAGGCUCUAGGGGAAUAAAGAUGGAAUGACUUCUAAUUUUUAGGUCCGUAUGAUUUGAAAUACUUGCACGCAAACCGCGCGAAAGCGUUCCUGGAAAUAUCAGCCCAAAAAAGGACGUUUAGUAAUUCUAAAAGGGACUACAGGAUGAAAACAAUAGUUUUGGCAGUUAAAGUUUGAGAUUCAACAGUGCCGUAGAUCCGUUUGGUCAUCAGGUGUUAUGAGCCAUACCCAUGUCUAGCUAGAGUAGUGUGCUAGGCUCAGGCUAGAGAAGAAACAGGGAACAAACUGAUGAAAGAAUGAUCAUACCGAGGGAAUUCACUCAGAACUAACAAGAAUGAUAACGUGCUCCGACUGGAGCGGUUUAGGAACUGCUGGAAGGCUCUAGGGGAAUAAAGAUGGAGUGACUUCUAAAUUUUUAGGUCCGUAUGAUUUAAAAUACUUGCACACAAACCGCACGAAAGCGUUCCUUGAAAUCUCAGCCCAAAAAAGGACGUUUAGUAAGUCUAAAAGGGACUAUAGGAUGAAAAACAAUAGUUUUGGCAGUUAAAGUUUGAGAUUCGAUGGUGCCGUAGAUCUGUUUGGUCAUCAGGUGUUACGAGCCACACCCAUGUCUAGUUGGAAUAGUGUGCUAGGCUCAGACUAGAGAAGAAACAGGGAACAAACUGAUGAAAGAAUGAUCAAACCGAGGAAAUUCACUCAGAACUAACAAUAAUGAUAACAUGCUCCGACUGGAGCGGUUUAGGAACUGCUGGAAGGCUCUAGGGGAAUAAAGAUGGAAUGACUUCUAAAUUUUUAGGUCCGUAUGAUUUGAAAUAGUUGCACACAAACUGCGCGAAAGCGUUCCUGGAAAUCUCAGCCCAAAAAAGGACGUUUAGUAAUUCUAAAAGGGACUAUAGGAUGAAAAACAAUAGUUUUGGCAGUUAAAGUUUGAGAUUCGACGGUGCCGUAGAUCCGUUUGGUCAUCACGUGUUACAAGCCACACCCAUGUCUAGCUAGAGUAGUGUGCUAGGCUCAGACUAUAGAAGAAACGGGGACCAAACUGAUGAAAGAAUGAUCAAACCGAGGAAAUUCACUCAGAACUAACAAUAAUGAUAACAUGCUCCGACUGGAGCGGUUUAGGAACUACUGGAAGGCUCUAGGGGAAUAAAGAUGGAAUGACUUCUAAAUUUUUAGGUCCGUAUGAUUUUAAAUAGUUGCACACAAACUGCGCGAAAGCGUUCCUGGAAAUCUCAGCCCAAAAAAGGACGUUUAGUAAUUCUAAAAGGGACUACAGGAUGAAAAACAAUAGUUUGGGCAGUUAAAAUUUGAGAUUCGACGGUGCCGUAGAUCCGUUUGGUCAUCAGGUGUUACGAGCCACACCCAUGUCUAGCUAGAGUAGUGUGCUAGGCUCAGGCUAGAGAAGAAACAGGGAACAAACUGAUGAAAGAAUGAUCAUACCGAGGGAAUUCACUCAGAACUAACAAGAAUGAUAACGUGCUCUGACUGGAGCGGUUUAAGAACUGUUGGAAGGCUCUAGGGGAAUAAAGAUGGAAUCACUUCAAAUUUUUACGUCCGUGUGAUUUGAAAUACUUGCACACAAACCGCACGAAAGCGUUCCUGGAAAUCUCAGCCCAAAAAAGGACGUUUAGUAAGUCUAAAAGGGACUACACGAUGAAAAACAAUAGUUUUGGCAGUUAAAGUUUGAGAUUCGACAGUGCCGUAGAUCCGUUUGGUCAUCAGGUGUAACGAGCCACACCCAUGUCUAGAUAGAGUAGUGUGCUAGGCUCAAACUAGAGAAGAAACGGGGAACAAACUGAUGAAAGAAUGAUCAUACCGAGGGAAUUCACUCAGAAAUAACAAGAAUGAUAACGUGCUCUGACUGGAGCGGUUUAGGAACUGCUGGAAGGCUCUAGGGGAAUAAAGAAGGAAUGACUUCUAAUUUUUAGGUCCGUAUGAUUUGAAAUACGUGCACACAAACCCCGAGAAAGCGUUCCUGGAAAUCUCGACCCAAAAAAGGACGUUUAGUAAUUCUAAAAGGGACUACGGGAUGAAAAACAAUAGUUUUGGCAGUUAAAGUUUGAGAUUCGAUAAUGCCGUAGAUCCAUUUGGUCAUCAGGUGUAACGAGCCACACCCAUGUCUAGCUAGAGUAGUGUGCUAGGCUCAGACUAGAGAAGAAACAGGGAACAAACUGAUGAAAGAAUGAUCAUAUCGAGGGAAUUCACUCAGAACUAACAAGAAUGAUAACAUGCUCCGACUUGAGCGGUUUAGGAACUGCUGGAAGGCUCUAGGGGAAUAAAGAUGGAAUGACUUCUAAUUUUUAGGUCCGUAUGAUUUGAAAUACUUACACACAAACCACGCGAAAGCGUUCCUGGAAAUCUCAGCCCAAAAAAGGACGUUUAGUAAUUCUAAAAGGGACUACAUGAUGAAAAACAAUAGUUUUCGCAGUUAAAGUUUGAGAUUCGACGGUGCCGUAGAUCCGUUUGGUCAUCAAGUGUUACGAGCCACACCCAUGUCUAGCUAGAAUAGUGUGUUAGGCUCAGCCUAGAGAAGAAACGGGGAACAAACUGAUGAAAGAAUGAUCAUACCGAGGGAAUUCACUCAGAACUUACAAGAAUGAUAACGUGCUCCGACUUGAGCGGUUUAAGAACUGUUGGAAGGCUCUAGGGGAAUAAAGAUGGAAUCACUUCAAAUUUUUACGUCCGUGUGAUUUGAAAUACUUGCACACAAACCCCGAGAAAGCGUUCCUGGAAAUCUCGGCCGAAAAAAGGAUGUUUAAUAAUUCUAAAAGGGACUACAGGAUGAAAAACAAUAGCUUUGGCAGUUAAAGUUUGUGAUUCGAUGGUGCCGUAGAUCUGUUUGGUCAUCAGGUGUUAUGAGCCACACCCAUGUCUAGCUAGAAUAGUGUGUUAGGCUCAGGCUAGAGCAGAAACUAGGAACAAACUUAUGAAAGAAUGAUCAUACCGAGGGAAUUCACUCAGAACUAACAAGAAUGAUAACGUGCUCCGACUGGAGCGGUUUAGGAACUGCUGGAAGGCUCUAGGGGAAUAAAGAUGGAAUGACUUCUAAUUUUUAGGUCCGUAUGAUUUGAAAUACAUGCACACAAACCCCAAGAAAGCGUUCCUAGAAAUCUCAGCCCAAAAAGGACGUUUAGUAAUUCUAAAAGGGACUACAGGAUGAAAAACAAUAGGUUUGGCAGUUAAAGUUUGAGAUUCGAUAAUGCCGUAGAUCCGUUUGGUCAUCAGGUGUAACGAGCCACACCCAUGUCUAGCUACAUUAGUGUGCUAGGCUCAGACUAGAGAAGAAACGGGGAACAAACUGAUGAAAGAAUGAUCAUACCGAGGGAAUUCACUCAGAACUAACAAGAACGAUAACAUGCUCCGACUGCAGCGGUUUAGGAACUGCUGGAAGGCUCUAGGGGAAUAAAGAAGGAAUGACUUCUAAUUUUUAGGUCCGUAUGAUUUGAAAUACUUGCACACAAACCGCGCGAAAGCAUUCCUGGAAAUCUCAGCCCAAAAAAGGACGUUUAGUAAUUCUAAAAGGGACUACAGGAUGAAAAACAAUAAUUUUGGCAGUUAAAGUUUGAGAUUCGACGGUGCCGUAGAUCCGUUUGGUCAUCAGGUGUUACGGGCCAUACCCAUGUCUAGCUAGAAUAGUGUGUUAGGCUCAGGUUAGAGAAGAAACGGGGAACAAAGUGAUGAAAGAAUGAUCAUACCGAGGGAAUUCACUCAGAACUAACAAGAAUGAUAACGUGCUCCGACUGGAGCGGUUUAGGAAUUGCUGGAAGGCUCUAGGGGAAUAAAGAUGGAAUGACUUCUAUAUUUUACGUCCGUAUGAUUUGAAAUACUUGCACACAAACCACGCAAAAGCACUCCUGGAAAUAUCAGCCUAAAAAGGAUGUUUAGUAAUUCUAAAAGGGACUACAGGAUGAAAAAUAAUAGUUUUGGCAGUUAAAAUUUGAGAUUCAACGGUGCCGUAAAUCCGUUUGGUCAUCAGGUGUUACGAGCCACACCCAUGUCUAGCUAGAAUAGUGUGUUAGGCUCAGGUUAGAGAAGAAACGGGGAACAAACUGAUGAAAGAAUGAUCAUACAAGGGGAAUUCACUCAGAACUAUCAAGAAUGAUAACGUGCUCCGACUGGAGCAGUUUAGGAACUGCCGGAAGGCUCUAGGGGAAUAAAGAUGGAAUGACUUCUAAUUUUUAUGUCCGUAUGAUUUGAAAUACUUGCACACAAACCACGCAAAAGCGUUCCUGGAAAUCUCAGCCUAAAAAGGACGUUUAGUAAUUCUAAAAGGGACUACAGGAUGAAAAACAAUAGUUUGGGCAGUUAAAAUUCGAGAUUCGACGGUGCCGUAGAUCCGUUUGGUCAUCAGGUGUUACGAGCCACACCCAUGUCUAGCUAGAAUAGUGUGUUAGGCUCAGGCUAGAGAAGAAACGGGGAACAAACUGAUGAAAGAAUGAUCAUAUCGAGGGAAUUCACUCAGAACUAACAAGAAUGAUAACGUGCUCCGACUGGAGCGGUUUAGUAACUGCUGGAAGGCUCUAGGGGAAUAAAGAUGGAAUGACUUCUAAUUAUUAGGUCCGUAAGAUUUGAAUUACAUGCACACAAACCCCGAGAAAGCGUUCCUGGAAAUCUCGGUCGAAAAAAGGAUGUUUAGUAAUUCUAAAAGGGACUACAGGAUGAAAAACAAUAGUUUUGGCAGUUAAAGUUUGUGAUUCGAUGGUGCCGUAGAUCUGUUUGGUCAUCAGGUGUUACGAGCCACACCCAUGUCUAGCUAGAAUAGUGUGUUAGGCUCAGGCUAGAGCAGAAACGGGGAACAAACUUAUGAAAGAAUGAUCAUGCCGAGGGAAUUCACUCAGAACUAACAAGAAUGAUAACGUGCUCCGACUGGAGCGGUUUAGGAACUGCUGGAAGGCUCUAGGGGAAUAAAGAUGGAAUGACAUCAAAUUUUUAGGUCCGUAUGAUUUGAAAUACUUGCACACAAACCGCAAGAAAGCGUUCUUGGAAAUCUCCGCCCAAAAAAGGACGUUUAGUAAUUCUAAAAGGGUCUACAGGAUGAAAAACAAUAGUUCUGGCAGUUAAAGUUUGAGAUUCGAUAAUGUCGUAGAUCCGUUUGGUCAUCAGGCGUAACGAGCCACACCCAUUUCUAGCUAGAGUAGUGUGCUAGGCUCAGACUAGAGAAGAAACGGGGAACAACCUGAUGAAAGAAUGAUCAUACCGAGGGAAUUCACUCAGAACUAACAAGAAUGAUAACGUGCUCCGACUGGAGCGGUUUAGGAACUGCUGGAAGGCUCUACGGGAAUAAAGAAGGAAUGACUUCUAAUUUUUAGGUCCGUAUGAUUUGAAAUACGUGCACACAAACCCCGAGAAAGCGUUCCUGGAAAUCUCGGCCCAAAAAAGGACGUUUAGUAUUCUAAAAGCGACUACAGAAUGAAAAACAAUAGUUUUGGUAGUUAAAGUUUGAGAUUUAACGGUGCCGUAGAUCUGUUUGGUCAUCAGGUGUUACGAGCCACACCCAUGUCUAGCUAGAAUAGUGUGUUAGGCUCAGGCUAGAUAAGAAACAGGGAACAAAGUGAUGAAAGAAUGAUCAUACCAAGGGAAUUCACUCAGAACUAACAAGAACGAUAACAUGCUCCGACUGGAGUGGUUUAGGAACUGCUGGAAGGCUCUAGGGGAAUAAAGAUGGAAUGACUUCUAAUUUUUAGGUCUGUAUGAUUUGAAAUACUUGCACACAAACCGCACGAAAGCGUUCCUGGAAAUCUCAUCCCAAAAAAGGACGUUUAGUAAUUCUAAAAGGGACUACAGGAUGAAAAACAAUAGUUUUGGCAGUUAAAGUUUGAGAUUCGAUAAUGCUGUAGAUCCGUUUGGUCAUCAGGUGUAACGAGCCACACCCAUGUCUAGCUAGAGUAGUGUGCUAGGCUCAGACUAGAGAAGAAACGGGGAACAAACUGAUGAAAGAAUGAUCAUACCGAGGGAAUUCACUCAGAACUAACAAUAAUGAUAACGUGCUCCGACUGGAGCGGUUUAGGAACUGCUGGAAGGCUCUAGGGGAAUAAAGAUGGAAUGAGUUCUAAUUUUUAGGUCUGUAUGAUUUGAAAUACUUGCACACAAACCGCGUGAAAGCAUUCCUGGAAAUUUCAGCCCAAAAAAGGACGUUUAGUAAUUUUAAAAGGGACUACACGAUGAAAAACAAUAGUUUUGGCAGUUAAAGUUUGAGAUUCGACGGUGCCGUAGAUCCGUUUGGUCAUCAGGUGUUACGAGCCACACCCAUGUCUAGCUAGAAUAGUAUGUUAGGCUCGGGUAAGAGAAGAAACGGGGAACAAACUGAUGAAAGAAUGAUCAUACCAAGGGAAUUCACUCAGAACUAACAAGAAUGAUAACGUGCUCCGACUGGAGCGGUUUAGGAACUGCUGGAAGGCUCUAGGGGAAUAAAGAUGGAAUGACUUCUAAUUUUUACGUUCGUAUGAUUUGAAAUACUUGCACACAAACCACGCAAAAGCGUUCCUGGAAAUCUCAUCCUAAAAAAGGACGUUUAGUAAUUCUAAAAGGGACUACAGGAUGAAAAAUAAUAGUUUGGGCAGUUAAAAUUUGAGAUUCGACGGUGCCGUAGAUCCGUUUGGUCAUCAGGUGUUACGAGCCACACCCAUGUCUAGCUAGAAUAGUGUGUUAGGCUCAGGCUAGAGAAGAAACGGGGAACAAACUGAUGAAAGAAUGAUCAUAUCGAGGGAAUUCACUCAGAACUAACAAGAAUGAUAACGUGCUCCGACUGGAGCAGUUUAGAAACUGCUGGAAGGCUCUAGGGGAAUAAAGAUGGAAUGACUUCUAAUUUUUAGGUCUGUAUGAUUUGAAAUACGUGCACACGAACCCCGAGAAAGCGUUCCUGGAAAUCUCGGCCCAAAAAAGGACGUUUAGUAAUUCUAAAAGGGACUACAGGAUGAAAAACAAUAGUUUUGGCAGUUAAAGUUUGAGAUUCGACGGUGCCGUAGAUCCGUUUGUUCAUCAGGUGUUACGAGCCACACCCAUGUCUAGCUAGAAUAGUGUGUUAGGCUCAGGCUAGAGAAGAAACGGGGAACAAACUGAUGAAAGAAUGAUCAUACCGAGGGAAUUCACUCAGAACUAACAAGAAUGAUAACGUGCUCCGACUGGAGCGGUUUAGGAACUGCUAGAAGGCUCUAGGGGAAUAAAGAAGGAAUGACUUCUAAUUUUUAGGUCCGUAUGAUUUGAAAUACGUGCACACAAACCCCGAGAAAGCGUUCCUGGAAAUCUUGGCCCAAAAAAGGACGUUUAGUAUUCUAAAAGCGACUACAGAAUGAAAAACAAUAGUUUUGCUAGUUAAAGUUUGAGAUUUGAUGGUGCCGUAGAUCUGUUUGGUCAUCAGGUUUUACGAGCCACACCCAUGUCUAGCUAGAAUAGUGUGUUAGGCUCAGGCUAGAAAAGAAACAGGGAAUAAAGUGAUGAAAGAAUGAUCAUACCAAGGGAAUUCACUCAGAACUAACAAGAACGAUAACAUGCUCCGACUGGAGUGGUUUAGAACUGCUGGAAGGCUAAAGGGGAAUAAAGAUGGAAUGACUUCUAAUUUUUAGGUCCGUAUGAUUUGAAAUACUUGCACACAAACCGCACGAAAGUGUUCCUGGAAAUCUCAGCCCAAAAAAGGACGUUUAGUAAUUCUAAAAGGGACUACAGGAUGAAAAACAAUAGUUUUGGCAGUUAAAGUUUGAGAUUCGAUAAUGACGUAGAUCCGUUUGGUCAUCAGGUGUAACGAGCCACACCCAUGUCUAGCUAGAGUAGUGUGCUAGGCUCAGACUAGAGAAGAAACGGGGAACAAACUGAUGAAAGAAUGAUCAUACCGAGGGAAUUCACUCAGAACUAACAAUAAUGAUAACGUGCUCCGACUAGAGCGGUUUAGGAACUGCUGGAAGGCUCUAGGGGAAUAAAGAUGGAAUGACUUCUAAUUUUUAGGUCCCUAUGAUUUGAAAUACUUGCACACAAACCGCGUGAAAGCAUUCCUGGAAAUUUCAGCCCAAAAAAGGACGUUUAGUAAUUUUAAAAGGGACUACACGAUGAAAAAGAAUAGUUUUGGCAGUUAAAGUUUGAGAUUCGACGGUGCCGUAGAUCCGUUUGGUCAUCAGGUGUUACGAGACACACCCAUGUCUAGCUAGAAUAGUAUGUUAGGCUCGGGUUAGAGAAGAAACGGGGAACAAACUGAUGAAAGAAUGAUCAUACCAAGGGAAUUCACUCAGAACUAACAAGAAUGAUAACGUGCUCCGACUGGAGCGGUUUAGGAACUGCUGGAAGGCUCUAGGGGAAUAAAGAUGGAAUGACUUCUAAUUUUUACGUUCGUAUGAUUUGAAAUACUUGCAAACAAACCACGCAAAAGCGUUCCUGGAAAUUUCAUCCUAAAAAAGGACGUUUAGUAAUUCUAAAAGGGACUACAGGAUGAAAAAUAAUAGUUUGGGCAGUUAAAAUUUGAGAUUCGAUGGUGCCGUAGAUCCGUUUGGUCAUCAGGUGUUACGAGCCACACCCAUGUCUAGCUAGAAUAGUGUGUUAGGCUCAGGCUAGAGAAGAAACGGGGAACAAACUGAUGAAAGAAUGAUCAUAUCGAGGGAAUUCACUCAGAACUAACAAGAAUGAUAACGUGCUCCGACUGGAGCAGUUUAGAAACUGCUGGAAGGCUCUAGGGGAAUAAAGAUGGAAUGACUUCUAAUUUUUAGGUCUGUAUGAUUUGAAAUACGUGCACACAAACCCCGAGAAAGCGUUCCUGGAAAUCUCGUCCGGAAAAAGGAUGUUUAAUAAUUCUAAAAGGGACUACAGGAUGAAAAACAAUAGUUUUGGCAGUUAAAGUUUGUGAUUCGAUGGUGCCGUAGAUCUGUUUGGUCAUCAGGUGUUACGGGCCACACCCAUGUCUAGCUAGAAUAGUGUGUUAGGCUCAGGCUAGAGCAGAAACGGGGAGCAAACUUAUGAAAGAAUGAUCAUAGCGAGGGAAUUUACUCAGAACUAACAAGAAUGAUAACGUGCUCCGACUGGAGCGGUUUAGGAACUGCUGGAAGGCUCUAGGGGAAUAAAGAUGGAAUGACUUCAAAUUUUCAGGUAUGUAUGAUCUGAAAUACUUGCACACAAACCGCGAGAAAGCGUUCCUGGAAAUCUCAACCCAAAAAAGGAUGUUUAGUAAUUCUAAAAGGGACUACAGGAUUAAAAACAAUAGUUUUGGCAGUUAAAGUUUGAGAUUCGAUAAUGUCGUAGAUCCGUUUGGUCAUCAGGUGUAACGAGCCACACCCAUGUCUAGCUAGAGUAGUGUGCUAGGCUCAUACUAGAGAAGAAACGGGGAACAAACUGAUGAAAGAAUGAUCAUACCGAGGGAAUUCACUCAGAACUAACAAGAAUGAUAACGUGCUCCGACUGGAGCGGUUUAGGAACUGCUGGAAGGCUCUAGGGGAAUAAAGAUGGAAUGACUUCUUAUUUUUAGGUCCGUAUGAUUUGAAAUACAUGCACACAAACCCCAAGAAAGCGUUCCGGGAAAUCUCGGCCCAAAGAAUGAUGUUUAGUAAUUCUAAAAGGGACUAUAGAAUGAAAAACAAUAGUUUUGGCAGUUAAAGUUUGAGAUUUGACGGUGUCGUAGAUCUGUUUGGUCAUCAGGUGUUACGAGCCACACCCAUUUCUAGCUAGAAUAGUGUGUUAGGCUCAGGCUAGAAAAGAAACGGGGAACAAAGUGAUGAAAGAAUGAUCAUACCGAGGGAAUUCACUCAGAACUAACAAGAAUGAUAACAUGCUCCGACUAGAGCGGUUUAGGAACUGCUGGAAGGCUCUAGGGGAAUAAAUAUGGAAUGACUUCUAAUUUUCAGGUCCGUAUGAUUUGAAAUACUUGCACACAAACCGCGCGAAAGCGUUCCUGGAAAUCUCAUCCCAAAGAAGGUCGUUUAGUAAUUCUAAAAGGGACUACAGGAUGAAAAACAAUAGUUUUGGCAAUUUAAGGUUUGAGAUUCGACGGUGCCGUAGAUCCGUUUGGUCAUCAGGUGUUACGAGCCACACCCAUGUCUAGCUAGAAUAGUGUGCUAGGCUCAGGCUAGAGAAGAAACAGGGAACAAACUGAUGAAAGAAUGAUCAAACCGAGGGAAUUCACUCAGAACUAACAAUAAUGAUAACGUUCUCCGUCUGGAGCGGUUUAGGAACUGCUGGAAGGCUCUAGGGGAAUAAAGAUGGAAUGACUUCUAAUUUUUAGGUCCGUAUGAUUUGAAAUACUUGCACACAAACCGCGCCAAAUCGUUCCUGGAAAUCUCAGCCCAAAAAAGGACGUUUAGUAAUUCUAAAAGGGACUACAGGAUGAAAAACAAUAGUUUUGGCAGUUAAAGUUUGAGAUUCGAUGGUGCCGUAGACCCGUUUGGUCAUCAGGUGUUACGAGCCACACCCAUGUCUAGCUAGAGUAGUGUGCUAGGUUCAGACUAGAGAAGAAACAGGGAACAAAGUGAUGAAAGAAUGAUCAUACCGAGGGAAUUCACUCAGAACUAACAAGAAUGAUAACGUGCUCCGACUGGAGCGGUUUAGGAACUGCUGGAAGGCUCUAGGGGAAUAAAGAUGGAAUGACUUCUAAUUUUUACGUCCGUAUGAUUUGAAAUACUUGCACACAAACCACGCAAAAGCGUUCCUGGAAAUCUCAGCCUAAAAAAGGACGUUUAGUAAUUCAAAAAGGGACUACAAAAUGAAAAACAAUAGUUUUGGCAGUUAAAGUUUGAGAUUCGAUGGUGCCGUAGAUCCGUUUGGUCAUCAGGUGUUACGAGCCACACCCAUGUCUAGCUAGGAUAGUGUGUUAGGCUCAGGCUAGAGAAGAAACGGGGAACAAACUGAUGAAAGAAUGAUCAUACCGAGGGAAUUCACUCAGAACUAACAAGGAUGAUAACAUGCUCCGACUAGAGCGGUUUAGGAACUGCUGGAAGGCUCUAGGGGAAUAAAGAUGGAAUGACUUCUAAUUUUUAGGUCCGUAUGAUUUGAAAUACUUGCACACAAACCGCAAGAAAGCGUUCCUGGAAAUCUCAGCCCAAAAAAGGACGUUUAGUAAUUCUAAAAGGGACUACAGGAUGAAAAACAAUAGUUCUGGCAGUUAAAGUUUGAGAUUCGAUAAUGCCGUAGAUCUGUUUGGUCAUCAGGUGUAACGAGCCACACCCAUGUCUAGCUAGAGUAGUGUGCUAGGCUCAGACUAGAGAAGAAACGGGGAACAAACUGAUGAAAGAAUGAUUAUACCGAGGGAAUUCACUCAGAACUAACGAGAAUGAUAACGUGCUCCGACUGGAGCGGUUUAGGAACUGCUGGAAGGCUCUAGGGGAAUAAAGAUGGAAUGACUUCAAAUUUUUAGGUCUGUAUGAUUUGAAAUACUUGCACACAAACCGCAAGAAAGCGUUCCUUGAAAUCUCAGCCCAAAAAAGGACGUUUAGUAAUUCUAAAAGGGACUACAGGAUGAAAAACAAUAGUUCUGGCAGUUAAAGUUUGAGAUUCGAUAAUGUCGUAGAUCCGUUUGGUCAUCAGGUGUAACGAGCCACACCCAUGUCUAGCUAGAGUAGUGUGCUAGGCUCAGAAUAGAGAAGAAACGGGGAACAAACUGAUGAAAGAAUGAUCAUACCGAGGGAAUUCACUCAGAACUAACAAGAAUGAUAACGUGCUCCGACUGGAGCGGUUUAGGAACUGCUGGAAGGCUCUAGGGGAAUAAAGAAGGAAUGACUUCUAAUUUUUAGGUCCGUAUGAUUUGAAAUACGUGCACACAAACCGCGCGAAAGCGUUCCUGGAAAUCUCAGCCAAAAAAAGGACGUUUAGUAUUCUAAAAGGGACUACAGAAUGAAAAACAAUAGUUUUGGCAGUUAAAGUUUGAGAUUCGACGGUGCUGUAGAUCCGUUUGGUCAUCAGGUGUUACGAGCCACACCCAUGUCUAGCUAGAAUAGUGUGCUAGGCUCAGGCUAGAGAAGAAAAGGGGAACAAACUAAUGAAAGAAUGAUCAAUCCGAGGGAAUUCACUCAGAACUAACAAUAAUGAUAACGUGCUCCGACUGGAGCGGUUUAGGAACUGCUGGAAGGCUCUAGGCGAAUAAAGAUGGAAUGACUUCUAAUUUUUACGUCCGUAUGAUUUGAAAUACUUGCACACAAACCACGCAAAAGCGUUCCUGGAAGUCUCGGCCUAAAAAGGACGUUUAGUAAUUCUAAAAGGGACUACAGGAUGAAAAAUAAUAGUUUGGGCAGUUAAAAUUUGAGAUUCGACGGUGCCGUAGAUCCAUUUGGUCAUCAAGUGUUACGAGCCACACCCAUGUCUAGCUAGAAUAGUGUGUUAGGCUCAGGCUAGAGAAGAAACGGGGAACAAACUGAUGAAAGAAUGAUCAUACCAAGGGAAUUCACUCAGAACUAACAAGAAUGAUAACGUGCUCCGACUGGAGCAGUUUAGAAACUGCUGGAAGGCUCUUGGGGAAUAAAGAUGGAAUGACUUCAAAUUUUUAGGUCCGUAUGAUUUGAAAUACUUGCACACAAACCACGCGAAAGCGUUCCUGGAAAUCUCAGCCCAAAAAAGGACGUUUAGUAAUUCUAAAAGGGACUACAUGAUGAAAAACAAUAGUUUUGGCAGUUAAAGUUUGAGAAUCGUCGGUGCCGUAGAUCCGUUUGGUCAUCAGCUGUAACGAGCCACACCCAUGUCUAGCUAGAGUAGUGUGCUAGGCUCAGACUAGAGAAGAAACAGGGAACAAAGUGAUGAAAGAAUGAUCAUACCGAGGGAAUUCACUUAGAACUAACAAGAAUGAUAACAUGCUCCGACUUGAGCGAUUUAGGAACUUCUGGAAGGCUCUAGGGGAAUAAAGAUGGAAUGACUCAAAUUUUUAGGCCCGUAUGAUUUGAAAUACAUGCACACAAACCGCGAGAAAGUGUUCCUGGAAAUCUUAGCCCAAAAAAGGACGUUUAGUAAUUCUAAAAGGGACUACAGGAUGAAAAACAAUAGUUUUGGUAGUUAAAGUUUCAGAUUCGAUAAUGCCCUAGAUCCGUUUGGUCAUCAGGUGUAACGAGCCACACCAAUGUCUAGCUAGAGUAGUGUGCUAGGCUCAGACUAGAUAAGAAACGGGGAAGAAACUGAUGAAAGAAUGAUCAGACCGAGGGAAUUCACUCAGAACUAACAAUAAUGAUAACGUGCUCCGAGUGGAGCGGUUUAGGAACUGCUGGAAGGCUCUAGGGGAAUAAAGAUGGAAUGACUUCUAAUUUUUAGGUCCGUAUGAUUUGAAAUACGUGCACACAAACCCCGAGAAACCGUUCCUUGAAAUCUCGGCCCAAAAAAGGACGUUUAGUAAUUCUAAAAGGGACUACAAAAUGAAAAACAAUAGUUUUGGCAGUUAAAGUUUGAGAUUCGACGGUGUCGUAGACCCGUUUGGUCUUCAGGUGUUACGAGCCACACCCAUGUCUAGCCAGAGUAGUGUGCUAGGUUCAGACUAGAGAAGAAACGGGGAACAAAGUGAUGAAAGAAUGAUCAUACCGAGGGAAUUCACUCAGAACUAACAAGAAUGAUAACGUGCUCCGACUGGAGCGGGUUAGGAACUCCUGGAAGGCUCUAGGGGAAUAAAGAUGGAAUGACUUCUAAUUUUUACGUCCGUAUGAUUUGAAAUACUUGCACACAAACCACGCAAAAGCGUUCCUGGAAAUCUCAGCCUAAAAAAGGACGUUUAGUAAUUCUAAAAGGGACUACAGGAUGAAAAAUAAUAGUUUGGUCAUCAGGUGUUACGAGCCACACCCAUGUCUAGCUAGAAUAGUGUGCUAGGCUCAGGCUAGAGAAGAAACGGGGAAUAAACUGAUGAAAGAAUGAUCAAACCGAGGGAAUUCACUCAGAACUAACAAUAAUGAUAACGUUCUCCGUCUGGAGCGGUUUAGGAACUGCUGGAAGGCUCUAGGGGAAUAAAGAUGGAAUGACUUCUAAUUUUUAGGUCCGUAUGAUACGAAAUACUUGCACACAAACCGCGCGAAAUCGUUCCUGGAAAUCUCAGCCCAAAAAAGGACGUUUAGUAAUUCUAAAAGGGACUACAGCAUGAAAAACAAUAGUUCUGGCAGUUAAAGUUUGAGAUUCGAUAAUGCCGUAGAUCCGUUUGGUCAUCAGGUGUAACGAGCCACACCCAUGUCUAGCUAGAGUAGUAUGCUAGGCUCAGACUAGAGAAGAAACGGGGAACAAACUGAUGAAAGAAUGAUUAUACCGAGGGAAUUCACUCAGAACUAACAAGAAUGAUAACGUGCUCCGGCUGGAGCGGUUUAGGAACUGCUAGAAGGCUCUAGGGGAAUAAAGAUGGAAUGACUUCAAAUUUUUAGGUCUGUAUGAUUUGAAAUACUUGCACACAAACCGCAAGAAAGCGUUCCUGGAAAUCUCAGCCCAAAAAAGGACGUUUAGUAAUUCUAAAAGGGACUAUAGGAUGAAAAACAAUAGUUCUGGUAGUUAAAGUUUGAGAUUCGAUAAUGUCAUAGAUCCGUUCGGUCAUCAGGUGUAACGAGCCACACCCAUGUCUAGCUAGAGUAGUGUGCUAGGCUCAGACUAGAGAAGAAACGGGGAACAAACUGAUGAAAGAAUGAUCAUACCGAGGGAAUUCACUCAGAACUAACAAGAAUGAUAACGUGCUCCGACUGGAGCGGUUUAGGAACUGCUGGAAGGCUCUAGGGGAAGAAAGAAGGAAUGACUUCUAAUUUUUAGGUCCGUAUGAUUUGAAAUACGUGCACACAAACCGCGCGAAAGCGUUCCUGGAAAUCUCAGCCCAAAAAAGGACGUUUAGUAUUCUAAAAGGGACUACAGAAUGAAAAACAAUAGUUUUGGCAGUUAAAGUUUGAGAUUCGACGGUGCCGUAGAUCCGUUUGGUCAUCAGGUGUUACGAGCCACACCCAUGUCUAGCUAGAAUAGUGUGCUAGGCUCAGGCUAGAGAAGAAAAGGGGAACAAACUGAUGAAAGAAUGAUCAAACCGAGGGAAUUCACUCAGAACUAACAAUAAUGAUAACGUGCUCCGACUGGAGCGGUUUAGGAACUGCUGGAAGGCUCUUGGCGAAUAAAGAUGGAAUGACUUCUAAUUUUUACGUCCGUAUGAUUUGAAAUACUUCCACACAAACCAGGCAAAGGCGUUCCUGGAAAUCUCGGCCUAAAAAGGACGUUUAGUAAUUCUAAAAGGGACUACAGGAUGAAAAAUAAUAGUUUGGGCAGUUAAAAUUUUAGAUUCGACGGUGCCGUAGAUCCGUUUGGUCAUCAGGUGUUACGAGCCACACCCAUGUCUAGCUAGAAUAGUGUGUUAGGCUCAGGCUAGAGAAGAAACGGGGAACAAACUGAUGAAAGAAUGAUCAUACCAAGGGAAUUCACUCAGAACUAACAAGAAUGAUAACGUGCUCCGACUGGAGCAGUUUAGAAACUACUGGAAGGCUCUAGGGGAAUAAAGAUGGAAUGACUUCAAAUUUUUAGGUCCGUAUGAUUUGAAAUACUUGCACACAAACCGCGCGAAAGCGUUCCUGGAAAUCUCAGCCCAAAAAAGGACGUUUAGUAAUUCUAAAAGGGACUACAUGAUGAAAAACAAUAGUUUUGGCAGUUAAAGUUUGAGAUUCGUCGGUGCCGUAGAUCCGUUUGGUCAUCAGCUGUAACGAGCCACACCCAUUUCUAGCUAGAGUAGUGUGCUAGGCUCAGACUAAAGAAGAAAUGGGGAACAAAGUGAUGAAAGAAUGCUCAUACCGAGGGAAUUCACUCAGAACUAACAAGAAUGAUAACAUGCUCCGACUUGAGCGAUUUAGGAACUUCUGGAAGGCUCUAGGGGAAUAAAGAUGGAAUGACUCAAAUUUUUAGGUCCGUAUGAUUUGAAAUACUUGCACACAAACCGCGAGAAAGCGUUCCUGGAAAUCUCAGCCCAAAAAAGGACGUUUAGUAAUUCUAAAAGGGACUACAUGAUGAAAAACAAUAGUUUUGGCAGUUAAAGUUUGAGAUUUGAUAAUGCCGUAGAUCCGUUUGGUCAUCAGGUGUAACGAGCCACACCCAUGUCUAGCUAGAGUAGUGUGCUAGGCUAAGACUAGAUAAGAAAAGGGGAAGAAACUUAUGAAAGAAUGAUCAGACCGAGGGAAUUCACUCAGAACUAACAAUAAUGAUAACGUGCUCCGACUGGAGCGGUUUAGGAACUGCUGGAAGGCUCUAGGGGAAUAAAGAUGGAAUGACUUCUAAUUUUUAGGUCCGUAUGAUUUGAAAUACGUGCACACAAACCCCGAGAAACCGUUCCUGGAAAUCUCGGCCCAAAAAAGGAUGUUUAGUAAUUCUAAAAGGGACUACAAAAUGAAAAACAAUAGUUUUGGCAGUUAAAGUUUGAGAUUUGAUGGUGCCGUAGAUCUGUUUGGUCAUCAGGUGUUACGAGCCACACCCAUGUCUAGCUAGAAUAGUGUGUUAGGCUCAGGCUAGAAAAGAAACGGGAAACAAAGUGAUGAAAGAAUGAUCAUACCGAGGGAAUUCACUCAGAACUAACAAGAAUGAUAACAUGCUCUGACUGGAGCGGUUUAGGAACUGCUGGAAGGCUCUAGGGGAAUAAAGAUGGAAUGACUUCUAAUGUUUAGGUCCGUAUGAUUUGAAAUACUUGCACAUAAACCGCGCAAAAGCGUUCCUGGAAAUCUCAGCCCAAAAAAGGACGUUUAGUAAUUCUAAAAGGGACUACAGGAUGAAAAACAAUAGUUUUGGCAGUUAAAGUUUGAGAUUCGACGGUGCCGUAGAUCCGUUUGUUCAUCAGGUGUUACGAGCCACACCCAUGUCUAGCUAGAAUAGUGUGUUAGGCUCAGGCUAGAGAAGAAACGGGGAACAAACUGAUGAAAGAAUGAUCAAACCGAGGGAAUUCACUCAGAACUAACAAUAAUGAUAACGUGCUCCGACUAGAGCGGUUUAGGAACUGCUGGAAGGCUCUAGGGGAAUAAAGAUGGAAUGACUUCUAAUUUUUAGGUCUGUAUGAUUUGAAAUACUUGCACGCAAACCGCGCGAAAGCGUUCCCGGAAAUAUCAGCCUAAAGAAGGACGUUUAGUAAUUCUAAAAGGGACUACAGGAUGAAAAACAAUAGUUUUGGCAGUUAAAGUUUGAGAUUCAACGGUGCCGUAGAUCCGUUUGGUCAUCAGGUGUUACGAGCCACACCCAUGUCUAGCUAGAGUAGUGUGCUAGGCUCAGGCUAGAGAAGAAACAGGGAACAAACUGAUGAAAGAAUGAUCAUACCGAGGGAAUUCACUCAGAACUGAUGAAAGAAUGAUCAAACCAAGGAAAUUCACUCAGAACUAACAAUAAUGAUAACAUGCUCCGACUGGAGCGGUUUAGGAACUGCUGGAAGGCUCUAGGGGAAUAAAGAUGGAAUGACUUCUAAUUUUUAGGUCCGUAUGAUUUGAAAUACGUGCACACAAACCCCGAGAAACCGUUCCUGGAAAUCUCGGCCCAAAAAAGGACGUUUAGUAAUUCUAAAAGGGACAACAAAAUGAAAAACAAUAGUUUUGGCAGUUAAAGUUUGAGAUUCGACGGUGCCGUAGACCCGUUUGGUCAUCAGGUGUUACGAGCCACACCCAUGUCUAGCUAGAGUAGUGUGCUAGGUUCAGACUAGAGAAGAAACGGGGAACAAAGUGAUGAAAGAAUGAUCAUACCGAGGGAAUUCACUCAGAACUAACAAGAAUGAUAACGUGCUCCGACUGGAGCGGGUUAGGAAUUGCUGGAAGGCUCUAGGGGAAUAAAGAUAGAAUGACUUCUAAUUUUUACGUCCGUAUGAUUUGAAAUACUUGCACACAAACCACGCAAAAGCGUUCCUAGAAAUCUCAGCCUAAAAAAGGACGUUUAGUAAUUCUAAAAGGGACUACAGGAUGAAAAAUAAUAGUUUGGCCAGUUAAAAUUUAAGAUUCGACGGUGCCGUAGAUCCGCUUGGUCAUCAGGUGUUACGAGCCACACCCAUGUCUAGCUAGAAUAGUGUGUUAGGCUCAGGCUAGAGAAGAAACGGGGAACAAACUGAUGAAAGAAUGAUCAUACCGAGGGAAUUCACUCAGAACUAACAAGAAUGAUAACAUGCUCCGACUGGAGCGGUUUAGGAACUGCUGGAAGGCUCUAGGGGAAUAAAGAUGGAAUGACUUCUAAUUUUUAGGUCCGUAUGAUUUGAAAUACUUGCACACAAACCGCAAGAAAGCGUUCCUGGAAAUCUCAGCACAAAAAAGGACGUUUAGUAAUUCUAAAAGGGACUACAGCAUGAAAAACAAUAGUUCUGGCAGUUAAAGUUUGAGAUUCGAUAAUGCCGUAGAUCCGUUUGGUCAUCAGGUGUAACGAGCCACACCCAUGUCUAGCUAGAGUAGUGUGCUAGGCUCAGACUAGAGAAGAAACGGGGAACAAAAUGAUGAAAGAAUGAUUAUACCGAGGGAAUUCACUCAGAACUAACAAGAAUGAUAACGUGCUCCGACUGGAGCGGUUUAGGAACUGCUGGAAGGCUCUAGGGGAAUAAAGAUGGAAUGACUUCAAAUUUUUAGGUCUGUAUGAUUUGAAAUACUUGCACACAAACCGCAAGAAAGCGUUCCUGGAAAUCUCAGCCCAAAAAUGGACGUUUAGUAAUUCUAAAAGGGACUAUAGGAUGAAAAACAAUAGUUCUGGCAGUUAAAGUUUGAGAUUCGAUAAUGUCGUAGAUCCGUUCGGUCAUCAGGUGUAACGAGCCACACCCAUGUCUAGCUAGAGUAGUGUGCUAGGCUCAGACUAGAGAAGAAACGGGGAACAAACUGAUGAAAGAAUGAUCAUACCGAGGGAAUUCACUCAGAACUAACAAGAAUGAUAACGUGCUCCGACUGGAGCGGUUUAGGAACUGCUGGAAGGCUCUAGGGGAAGAAAGAAGGAAUGACUUCUAAUUUUUAGGUCCGUAUGAUUUGAAAUACGUGCACACAAACCGCGCGAAAGCGUUCCUGGAAAUCUCAGCCCAAAAAAGGACGUUUAGUAUUCUAAAAGGGACUACAGAAUGAAAAACAAUAGUUUUGGCAGUUAAAGUUUGAGAUUCGACGGUGCCGUAGAUCCGUUUGGUCAUCAGGUGUUACGAGCCACACCCAUGUCUAGCUAGAAUAGUGUGCCAGGCUCAGGCUAGAGAAGAAAAGGGGAACAAACUGAUGAAAGAAUGAUCAAACCGAGGGAUUUCACUCAGAACUAACAAUAAUGAUAACGUGCUCCGACUGGAGCGGUUUAGGAACUGCUGGAAGGCUCUAGGCGAAUAAAGAUGGAAUGACUUCUAAUUUUUACGUCCGUAUGAUUUUAAAUACUUGCACACAAACCACGCAAAAGCGUUCCUGGAAAUCUCGGCCUAAAAAGGACGUUUAGUAAUUCUAAAAGGGACUACAGGAUGAAAAAUAAUAGUUUGGGCAGUUAAAAUUUGAGAUUCGACGGUGCCGUAGAUCCGUUUGGUCAUCAGGUGUUACGAGCCACACCCAUGUCUAGCUAGAAUAGUGUGUUAGGCUCAGGCUAGAGAAGAAACAGGGAACAAACUGAUGAAAGAAUGAUCAUACCAAGGGAAUUCACUCAGAACUAACAAGAAUGAUAACGUGCUCCGACUGGAGCAGUUUAGAAACUGCUGGAAGGCUCUAGGGGAAUAAAGAUGGGAUGACUUCAAAUUUUUAGGUCCGUAUGAUUUGAAAUACUUGCACACAAACCGCGCGAAAGCGUUCCUGGAAAUCGCAGCCCAAAAAAGGACGUUUAGUAAUUCUAAAAGGGACUACAUGAUGAAAAACAAUAGUUUUGGCAGUUAAAGUUUGAGAUUCGUCGGUGCCGUAGAUCCGUUUGGUCAUCAGCUGUAACGAGCCACACCCAUGUCUAGCUAGAGUAGUGUGCUAGGCUCAGACUAGAGAAGAAAUGGGGAAAAAAGUGAUGAAAGAAUGAUCAUACCGAGGGAAUUCACUCAGAACUAACAAGAAUGAUAACAUGCUCCGACAUGAGCGAUUUAGGAACUUCUGGAAGGCUCUAGGGGAAUAAAGAUGGAAUGACUCAAAUUUUUAGGUCCGUAUGAUUUGAAAUACUUGCACACAAACCGCGAGAAAGCGUUCCUGGAAAUCUCAGCCCAAAAAAGGACAUUUAGUAAUUCUAAAAGGGACUACAGGAUGAAAAACAAUAGUUUUGGCAGUUAAAGUUUGAGAUUUGAUAAUGCCGUAGAUCCGUUUGGUCAUCAGGUGUAACGAGCCACACCCAUGUCUAGCUAGAGUAGUGUGCUAGGCUAAGACUAGAUAAGAAACCGGGAAGAAACUAAUGAAAGAAUGAUCAGACCGAGGGAAUUCACUCAGAACUAACAAUAAUGAUAACGUGCUCCGACUGGAGCGGUUUAGGAACUGCUGGAAGGCUCUAGGGGAAUAAAGAUGAAAUGACUUCUAAUUUUUAGGUUCGUAUGAUUUGAAAUACAUGCACACAAACCCCGAGAAACCGUUCCUGGAAAUCUCGGCCCAAAAAAGGAUGUUUAGUAAUUCUAAAAGGGACUACAAAAUGAAAAACAAUAGUUUUGGUAGUUAAAGUUUGAGAUUUGAUGGUGCCAUAGAUCUGUUUGGUCAUCAGGUGUUACGAGCCACACCCAUGUCUAGCUAGAAUAGUGUGUUAGGCUCAGGCUAGAAAAGAAACGGGAAACAAAGUGAUGAAAGAAUGAUCAUACCGAGGGAAUUCACUCAGAACUAACAAGAAUGAUAACAUGCUCUGACUGGAGCGGUUUAGGAACUGCUGGAAGGCUCUAGGGGAAUAAAGAUGGAAUGACUUCUAAUGUUUAGGUCCGAGGUCCGUAUGAUUUGAAAUACUUGCACAUAAACCGUGCAAAAGCGUUCCUGGAAAUCUCAGCCCAAAAAAGGACGUUUAGUAAUUCUAAAAGGGACUACAGGAUGAAAAACAAUAGUUUUGGCAGUUAAAGUUUGAGAUUCGACGGUGCCGUAGAUCCGUUCGUUCAUCAGGUGUUACGAGCCACACCCAUGUCUAGCUAGAAUAGUGUGUUAGGCUCAGGCUAGAGAAGAAACGGGGAACAAACUGAUGAAAGAAUGAUCAAACCGAGGGAAUUCACUCAGAACUAACAAUAAUGAUAACGUGCUCCGACUAGAGCGGUUUAGGAACUGCUGGAAGGCUCUAGGGGAAUAAAGAUGGAAUGACUUCUAAUUUUUAGGUCUGUAUGAUUUGAAAUACUUGCACGCAAACCGCGCGAAAGCGUUCCCGGAAAUAUCAGCCCAAAAAAGGACGUUUAGUAAUUCUAAAAGGGACUACAGGAUGAAAAACAAUAGUUUUGGCAGUUAAAGUUUGAGAUUCAACGGUGCCGUAGAUCCGUUUGGUCAUCAGGUGUUACGAGCCACACCCAUGUCUAGCUAGAGUAGUGUGCUAGGCUCAGGCUAGAGAAGAAACAGGGAACAAACUGAUGAAAGAAUGAUCAUACCGAGGGAAUUCACUCAGAACUGAUGAAAGAAUGAUCAAACCGAGGAAAUUCACUCAGAACUAACAAUAAUGAUAACAUGCUCCGACUGGAGCGGUUUAGGAACUGCUGGAAGGCUCUAGGGGAAUAAAGAUGGAAUGACUUCUAAUUUUUAGGUCCGUAUGAUUUGAAAUACGGGCACACAAACCCCGAGAAACCGUUCCUGGAAAUCUCGGCCCGAAAAAGGACGUUUAGUAAUUCUAAAAGGGACUACAAAAUGAAAAACAAUAGUUUUGGCAGUUAAAGUUUGAGAUUCGACGGUGCCGUAGACCCGUUCGGUCAUCAGGUGUAACGAGCCACACCCAUGUCUAGCUAGAGUAGUGUGCUAGGCUCAGACUAGAGAAGAAACGGGGAACAAACUGAUGAAAGAAUGAUCAUACCGAGGGAAUUCACUCAGAACUAACAAGAAUGAUAACGUGCUCCGACUGGAGCGGUUUAGGAACUGCUAGAAGGCUCUAGGGGAAGAAAGAAGGAAUGACUUCUAAUUUUUAGGUCUGUAUGAUUUGAAAUACGUGCACACAAACCGCGCGAAAGCGUUCCUGGAAAUCUCAGCCCAAAAAAGGACGUUUAGUAUUCUAAAAGGGACUACAGAAUGAAAAACAAUAGUUUUAGCAGUUAAAGUUUGAGAUUCGACGGUGCCGUAGAUCCGUCUGGUCAUCAGGUGUUACGAGCCACACCCAUGUCUAGCUAGAAUAGUGUGCUAGGCUCAGGCUAGAGA
rnacentral:lncRNA from 1 species